rnacentral:rRNA from 1 species
AGUGAACGCUGGCGGUAGGCCUAACACAUGCAAGUCGAACGGCAGCACAGUAAGAGCUUGCUCUUACGGGUGGCGAGUGGCGGACGGGUGAGGAAUACAUCGGAAUCUACUUUUUCGUGGGGGAUAACGUAGGGAAACUUACGCUAAUACCGCAUACGACCUACGGGUGAAAGCAGGGGAUCUUCGGACCUUGCGCGAUUCAAUGAGCCGAUGUCGGAUUAGCUAGUUGGCGGGGUAAAGGCCCACCAAGGCGACGAUCCGUAGCUGGUCUGAGAGGAUGAUCAGCCACACUGGAACUGAGACACGGUCCAGACUCCUACGGGAGGCAGCAGUGGGGAAUAUUGGACAAUGGGCGCAAACCUGAUCCAGCCAUACCGCGUGGGUGAAGAAGGCCUUCGGGUUGUAAAGCCCUUUUGUUGGGAAAGAAAAGCAGCAGGUGAAUACCCCGCUGUUCUGACGGUACCCAAAGAAUAAGCACCGGCUAACUUCGUG